rnacentral:rRNA from 1 species
UAGGGAAUCUUCGGCAAUGGACGAAAGUCUGACCGAGCAACGCCGCGUGAGUGAAGAAGGUUUUCGGAUCGUAAAACUCUGUUGUUAAAGAAGAACAAGGGUGAGAGUAACUGUUCACCCCUUGACGGUAUCUAACCAGAAAGCCACGGCUAACUACGUGUCAG